UUGGAGGGCAAGUCUGGUGCCAGCAGCCGCGGUAAUUCCAGCUCCAAUAGCGUAUAUUAAAGUUGUUGCAGUUAAAAAGCUCGUAGUUGAACUUCAGGCCUGGCUGGGCGGUCCGCCUUCCGGGCGAGUACUGUCUGUGGUCGGGUCCUACCUUCUGGCGAAGCGUCAUGGUCUUAACCGGCCGUGGCGGGGAACCAGGACUUUUACUGUGAAAAAUUAGAGUGUUCAAAGCAGGCAAUUUCGCUUGGAUACAUUAGCAUGGAAUAAUGGAAUAGGACAAUGGUUCUAUUUGCUGGUUUCUAGGACUGUUGUAAUGAUUAAUAGGGAUAGUUGGGGGCAUUAGUAUUCAAUUGUCAGAGGUGAAAUUCUUGGAUUUAUUGAAGACUAACUACUGCGAAAGCAUUUGCCAAGGAUGUUUUCAUUAAUCAAGAACGAAAGUUAGGGGAUCGAAGACGAUCAGAUACCGUCGUAGUCUUAACCAUAAACUAUGCCGACUAGGAAUCGGGCGAUGUUGACAAAAUGACGCGCUCGGCACC
rnacentral:rRNA from 1 species